CUUUUAUGAGUAGGAAUGUGCCAAAUAUGGUAAAAGCAUUACUAGAGAAGAGAUGGAGGAUUGUUGUUUAAAUGGAAAGCUAUACAAUCGCAUCAAUGAUUUACCAGGUACAUGGAGCCAGAGAGAGUAUAGAUGCGAAGGAAUGUGCCAAUGAUUGGUAGAUGCAAUUGUAUCUGUUCUUCUCUCCCUCCAUGUAAAGAACUGGUCGCACCGUCCUAUUGCUGCACGAUGGUUCUUAAAUUUAAUUUGGAAAUACAGCCCUCAAUUUCAAGAAGAUCGAAAGCACAAGGACGCCGCAGAACCUGAAUGUUAGGUGCAGGCCUGUCAAAAAACUUCUCAUUUUCCAAGUCCACAGAGAUUAUCUUCGUUGAAUGCUCAGUGAAGAUAUCUCCAUGCCAAUGGAAAUUGAAUGCCUGGAACAAUAAAGCCAUCGAAAGGGUUCUUCAAUUGCUCUCCAUGUUCUGGAGCCUCUGUCAAUACUUUCGGGGGUACGAUGUCUUGUAUUCUAUCUGUGGAAAAAGUGGGCUGAUUUUUAUAGUACAUUAUGUUUCUUGUAACUUUGUAGACCCUUUGUAAUGCCAAUAUUUGUAUCAAGGAACAAGUGAAGAGAGAUCUGAGGAUCACAAAGCCCUAUCCGAGUCCUGGGAAUGGUGUUAAGAAACCAAAGUACUGAGACAGUGAUGGUGGAUUUAUAUGUCAAUGCCUAGCGUCCUCACUUUAAUGAAUUUUUUCCUACAGCUUUGAAUGAACCAAAAUGCAGUAAUUGUGAAGACAGUCACAGUGGCAGAGAAGAUAAGUUCCCUAAGGCAUUGCUGUUUGAUCUCAACCUUGAACCUCCUAAUGAAGAGGUUACCAAUAGAGAGGAAAAACCAUCCUAGAGUAUAUUCCUCACAUUGAUAAUGAUGCUGUGUAUCUGAAAGGAUUGAUUUUUGUUUAUUAGGAGGAUUCCCCGUUGAUUGCAAUGCCGAACAUGGGAGGAACUAUCUAAUUUCUUUGUUUGUGAUUUGACUUGUUUUACAAGUUUUUUCUUGUAUUCUAUUUUUUUCUUUUCCUUCUUAAUACAAUUGAUCUUUUAAUGGCAAUAAAAAUUGAGUGUGUCUUGACUUUUGUCAACCAAAGGCAUAAGAUCUUU